rnacentral:rRNA from 1 species
CCUACGUGCGGCUGCAGUGGGGAAUAUUGCACAAUGGGGGAAACCCUGAUGCAGCGACGCCGCGUGAGUGAAGAAGUAUUUCGGUAUGUAAAGCUCUAUCAGCAGGGAAGAAAAUGACGGUACCUGAUUAAGAAGCCCCGGCUAACUACGUGCCAGCAGCCGCGGUAAUACGUAGGGGGCACGCGUUCUCCGGAUUUACUGGGUGGAAAGGGAGCGUAGACGGCAGCACAAGUCUGGAGUGAAAUGCCGGGGCUUAACCCCGGAACUGCUUUGGAGACUGGGCAGCUAGAGUGCAGGAGAGGUAAGUGGAAUGCCUAGUGUAGCGGUGAAAUGCGUAGAUAUUAGGAGGAACACCAGUGGCGAAGGCGGCUUACUGGACUGUAACUGACGUUGAGGCUCGAAAGCGUGGGGAGCAAACAGGAUUAGAUACCCGUGUAGUC